CCGCUGCGGGGUCGCACGCGCCUC
rnacentral:piRNA from 1 species